UAAGCCCCCUGCCCUCUGAUCCCCGAUGUUUGUGGAGCCUGCACUGCUGUCUAGCAGCAAGGUCUAUUUUUCUCUCCCAUGGCGUAAGUGGACACAGCUGUCCGGGGCUGAUUUAUAGGAGGAAGUCACCAGUAGGAGCCCCGGAGGCUCUCACAGCCUCAUGGCUUCACUUCCACUUCCCGGUUCACCGCAGCCACGAGAACUCCGGGCGGGGGUGGUGGGGUGCCCAGUAAGCUGGAUGGUGCCGGGCGUUAUCCUUCUGGGAGACGCGCCCCAAAGAAGCCCCCGAAGGCUGCCAGGCUGGUUGUUUUCUCCACCGCUGAUUGAAUUUAGAUCCUGUUUGGUAGGAGAGCAGCAGUCUGUUCAAUCUCUGAGAUCCUGAUUCAACUCUAGCAACACACUGGGCUUUCCUGAGGCCUCCUGGUGGAGCAAAGACUCAUCUGAAGAAGGAAACAAGGUGUCAAGACUCCUCACUGAGAGUCAGCUCUUCCACCGUCUGCUCUCUGCUUCCCCUGUGGUGAACAUAUUUGCUGGACCAGAAAUCGAGACACAUGGUCUGGCCAUGAAAAAAUGAAAUUGAGACUGUUCCAGAAAAUCUAGGACAUAUGUUCUCCAGAGCUGUGGCAACAUGGGACUAUGUACACAGUAUAUGCCUAAUAAAUGCCUGCACUGAAAAUCA
rnacentral:lncRNA from 1 species